CUUUGGUGGCGGGAGCAAUCCUACCGCCAGANGUUAUAACUAAACCNAACUUUUUAUUUACAGUCAAACUUGAUUUAUUAUUACAAUAGUNAAAACUUUCAACAACGGAUCUCUUGGUUCUCGCAUCGAUGAAGAACGCAGCGAAAUGCGAUACGUAAUAUGAAUUGCAGAUAUUCGUGAAUCAUCGAAUCUUUGAACGCACAUUGCGCCCUUUGGUAUUCCAAAGGGCAUGCCUGUUUGAGCGUCAUUUCUCCCUCAAACCCCCGGGUUUGGUGUUGAGCAAUACGCUAGGUUUGUUUGAAAGAAUUUACGUGGAAACUUAUUUUAAGCGACUUAGGUUUAUCCAAAACGCUUAUUUUGCUAGUGGCCACCACAAUUUAUUUCAUAACUUUGACCUCAAAUCAGGUAGGACUACCCGCUGAACUUAAGCAUAUCAAUAAGCGGAGG
rnacentral:rRNA from 1 species